GUGGGGAAUAUUGGGCAAUGGGCGAAAGCCUGACCCAGCAACGCCGCGUGAAGGAAGAAGGUCUUCGGAUCGUAAACUUCUAUCCUUGGUGAAGAUAAUGACGGUAGCCGAGAAGGAAGCCCCGGCUAACUACGUGCCAGCAGCCGCGGUAAUACGUAGGGGGCAAGCGUUGUCCGGAAUGAUUGGGCGUAAAGGGCGCGUAGGCGGCCUGGUAAGUCUGGAGUGAAAGUCCUGCUUUUAAGGUGGGAAUUGCUUUGGAUACUGUCGGGCUUGAGUGCAGGAGAGGUAAGUGGAAUUCCCGGUGUAGCGGUGAAAUGCGUAGAGAUCGGGAGGAACACCAGUGGCGAAGGCGACUUACUGGACUGUAACUGACGCUGAGGCGCGAAAGCGUGGGGAGCAAAUAGGAUUAGAAACCCUGGUAGUCC
rnacentral:rRNA from 1 species